UUUAAUAGAAAAAGUUGUCAAAAUUUUAUUUUCCUUUUCCAUUUGCAUCUCCGAUCAUUGAGCUCGUCUCGAAAGAGAAACAAACGAAGAUUGUAAAAUUUAAUGAUCUUCUCCCUAAAGGCCGGGUAAAUUUACACUUCCGGUUUGUGAAAGAAUGUAUUGCGCUUUUGGUCUUGCAAUUACUACAACAAUAUUUGGAUAAAAGUGGAAGAUGCUGACAAAAUGGAAGAUGCUGAUAAACGAAAUUUGUGCUUAAUUAAAUCGAAUUAUUUUUAUAAAUAAAUUCUGCAUUUGUCUCUUUUAAAA